AUGAGAGCUUUUGUCUUAACAUCUGAUCACAGGAAGUAUUAUUUUUGUGCAGUCUGAAUUCUUUCAGCUCUCUGAAGAUGUCUUUAAUUUUAAAGGCUU
rnacentral:pre_miRNA from 14 species